UUAACUGUUAUAUAAUACUCAGACGACACUAAUAUUCAGGGUUUGGGGUUCUCUGGCGGGCGCUUACCAGCCGAAGCCGGUAGCCUGACCUAGCUCCUGACGGCCCGCCAAAGCAACAAAGAUAGUACAACAUAGGGUGGAGAUCUACCCUGACGGGCAAAAGCUCUGUAAUGAUCCCUCCGCAGGUUCACCUACGGAGA
rnacentral:misc_RNA from 1 species